rnacentral:lncRNA from 1 species
UAGACUUUUAAAACUUGUGGUCCAAGAUGAAUGAUAGAAAUUUGUGUCCCUUAAAUCAUUUCAUUAAGGGUAAAAUAGACAUUUUAUAGUUAAAUUGUCACUUAAUAUAGAAAUGUGUCAUUCUUUUUUAGACAGACUAAAUAUGAAAGUAAGUCACAUAAAUUGGGACAAAGGGAGUAUUAUUUUUCUCAAGCACAAUAAGACACUUCUUCAAAGUAUUUCUCAGACAUUUUUCAAAUUACUUUUGCUUAUGGAGAAAAUUUUGAAGUUUUACUAUUUGAAGAAUGUGAGUUCAAAAUUUUACCACAUUUUUUUUUAUAAAGUUAAAGUUGUUCUUCAGCAUUAAGGGUAUGCUGGCUACCUCCAAAAAGUUACAAUCUAAAACCAUAAUUACAUAGAUCCUAGGAAAUCUACCAACUGUUCUACUUCUUCUAUACCAUCUUCUUUACACCAAAAAAACAACACGUUAAUGCAAUUUUCUUUAACUUUCUAAAUAGAGUUAGUAAUAUUCUCAUGACACCUAAGGUUUCUUUCUCUCCAAAUAGCCCACCAGACACAAGUAGGUACUAUAGACCACCAUCUUUUUUGGGUCCUGCUCCCCCCCCCCCUCCUCAUCCAGCAGCUCAGAAGAUCAGCAGUAUGUUCUGGCAUCACCCAGGGCUCUUGAGAAAUGCUGAGAACCAUGCGCCACACCUGGACAGUAACCCUACAGUGUAGGAAUAAGUGGCUGUUAGUUUCUUCCUUCUCAUGACAAAAAAAACAUCUGGAAACAAUCUGGAAGCCUCUUUUCUUGAGUUUUUCUUGAGUGAGACAUGCCCUUCUGAUGACCAACCAGGUGAAGCAUUUCACCUUGUUUGGGGUGUUGCCCUUCCAUAUUUGUUUCCAUGGACCAAGAAAUCCCCCAGAGUGAGUCACGACCUCUCUCUUAUACAGUCUACGCACAGAGAGCUUACCAUCAGAGUUAUGUUUCCAUCUUAUACUAUCUGCUUCUGUAGUAAGACCCGUGAAUUCACCCAAUUUGAGUAGCAAUUCAGCAAUUCUAUCCACUUUCCAAUCAUUUAGAUUUCUCCUGAAAGUGAGGUUCCAUCCCUGAGGGGACCAAAUCUCAGCAAUUUUAGCCUCAGGAUUGGUACAAAAAGAAAAAAGAUCAGGGAAGACCAAGUUUAAACACUCUUGUUCAAUCCACUUGUCCUUCCAAAAAAAUAUUUUGUUACCCUCUCCCACCUUGACCACCAAAUUCUCCUUUAGACUAUCCCAUAAAUUUCUGAUUGAUCUCCAAACUGAUACCCCAUACGUGCUAUAUACUACAUUAGACACCCACUCCUCCAUCUGUCCAUACUUGUUGAGAAUUGCUUUCCUCCAUAAUGCCUGAUCUUCAACCACAAAUCUCCAAAGCCAUUUAGAAAGUAAACUUUUGUUCUGGACCCUCAGAUUUUUUAUGCCAAGACCUCAUGUCUUCUUACUUAGUAAGGUUGUCUGCCAUUUAACUAAGUGUAUUUUUUCCCUUCUUUGUUCCCCGACCAUAGAAAAUCACGCCUCAAUUUAUCCAACCUCUCUUCUACCUUUGCUGGUAAAAGGAAAAGUGACAUAACAUAUGUAGGCAACGCAUCCAGAACUGAAUUGAUCAGAGUGACUCUUCCUCCCAGAGAUAGAUAGUUUGCCUUCCAAUUAGCCAACCUCUUCUCUGUCUUCUCAAUGAUUCCAUCCCAAAUCUCAAGCUCCUUGUGAUUAUUCCCCAAAGGCAUUCCCAGGUAAGUAGUUGGUAAGUGCUCUAUCUUGCAUUGCAAGAUGCUUAUCAACAGCUGAAUAUUUGCCACUUCCUUGAUUUGGAAGAUGUUGUUUUCCCCCCAGUUCACAGCCAGUCCGGAGAUGGCCUCAAAAAUCACCAAAACAACUCUAAUGUAACUAACUUGCUCGCAAAAUAUUAGUGUGCCAUCUGCAUAUAAAAGGUGACAUAUUUGUAAAUUGACCCCUGACUGAUUAUCAAUGUUGAAACCCUUUAUCCAGUUGUUCUGAUUGGCCACUCUAAUCAUACUGUUAAGACCCUCCGUUGCUAAAAUAAAUAGGAAAGGGGAGAGAGGAUCUCCAUGUCGUAGUCCUCUCUCAGAAGGAAAAAAAACAGCAGGUUAUCCAUUAACAAGUAUGGAGAACCUGACAAUUUUGAUGCAAAAACCUAUCCAUUUAAGCCAUUUGUCUCCAAACCCCAUCUGCCUUAGAAUAUUAAGUAGAAACUCCCAAUUGACAUGAUCAUAUGCCUUUUCUAUAUCAAGCUUGCACAUAAUUCCUGGGAUCUCUCCUUUAAUCCUUGAAUCUACACACUCACUUGCUAUUAAUGCGGCAUCCAUAAUUUGUCUUCCUUGAAUGAAGGCCAUUUGAUGAUUGUUCACUAAUUUGCUUAUCACUUUCUUUAAUCUCUCUGCCAACAGCUUACCAAAGACCUUGUACACACCACUAAUGAGACUAAUGGAUCUAAAAUCCCUAAGUUCCAUAGCUCCUGUCUUCUUUGGAAUUAGAGCCACAUAGGUGGAGUUGAGGCUCUUCUCUAUCUCAUGUCUUUCAUGAAAUUGUCUCACUGCUUUCAUGAAGUCUGUCUUCAGAAUCUCCCAGAAGAUUUGGAAAAAACUCAUCGGAAAGCCAUCUGGUCCGGGGGCCUUAUCACUAGCACAUGAUUUUAUGCAAUUAAAAACUUCAUCUUCCUCGAAUUGCCUCUGCAACCAUACAUUUUCCUCUUGUGUAAUGCUUUCCGCUCCCUGAGUUCAAAAUUUUACCACUUCCGGAGUAAAUUUUGAAGUUCUACUACUCCAGGAGUAAAGUACACAGUUCUACUACUUCGGGAGUAGAUAUUAGAUUCUUACUACUUGGGGAGUUGGUGGCAAAGUGUUUACUACUUCUGGAGAGAAUUUUAGGUUUAUGUCACGCCAUAAACUACUCCUAGACAUGAUUGGCACCCAACACAAACCACUGACCAGGUCAACCCAAUUUCCAUACCUGAACCAUUAAUUCACAACAUUUGAUGAAUUAAAUAAGUAUUCAAACAGUAUGAUAAAUAAAUAUGAACACUUAGGGUCGGUUUGAAAGCCACUAGGUAAUUGAAAUUGGUGUCAUUACUCAUUACUAGGGUAGUAAAUCCAGCCUAGUAAUUACAUAACCUAGUAAUUACAUUGACCUGUUUGUCAAUCUUUCGAUGAUUAGGUUAAAAAAGAUCUUGUACACCACUCCAAUUAUGUUGAUUGGUCUGAAAUCUUUUAAUUUCAUUGCCUCAGGUCUUGUUGACCAAUAUCAAUUAGAAAGGUGUACAAAUUGAGAUUGGUAGUACCCGAAGCUUUUCUUUUGAAUUUGUUAAAGGACCAUGAUGCUGCUUGCUUGUACUCUCCCAUUUCUAGUUCCUUUAACAAAAUUAUAAUUAUUAAGGUUUUGGCCAAUAAUGACAAAUUAAAGUAAUUCUCCAAUUUUGCAAUAGUAUCAGUUUACUAUUUUGGGAGGAAAAUUCAGAUUUACUACUUUGUAAGUAAAUUUCAAAA